rnacentral:misc_RNA from 1 species
GGCAGGUCCGGGUGCUAAAGGUAGUACUGGUGGAGUGGGCAGGGCCAUUUGAAAUAGAGCUGGAAUGUUUAUUUUGUUCAUCAAAUGCAGCACCAUAAAGUCAAAGGACUAUGGUUCAUAGCCACUACUAGUGUCAAGGACUCAAGGGCACCGAAAAACUGAAUCUGUGAAGAGUCAGACUGCAAUGGCAAAAAUAAUUUCCAGGAGCUGCUCCUUUGAAGUCCACCCAUCAAAGUCCAGCACAUCAAUUACUCCACAAUUUCACCCUCUUUUAAU